CUGGCUACCAGAUCUGUCCAUUGUGGAAGGUCUUAUAUUCUCGCUGAUUUCAGGAGCUAUUGAUUAUGCGUA
rnacentral:sRNA from 1 species